rnacentral:rRNA from 1 species
GACAGAGGGUGCAAACGUUGUUCGGAAUUACUGGGCGUAAAGCGCGUGUAGGCGGCCAUCUAAGUCGGGCGUGAAAUCCCACGGCUCAACCGUGGAAGUGCACUCGAAACUGGAUGGCUAGAGUCCUGGAGAGGAAGGUGGAAUGCUUGGUGUAGAGGUGAAAUUCGUAGAUAUCAAGCGGAACACCGGUGGACGAAGGCGGCCU